rnacentral:rRNA from 14 species
GGUCAUAGUGAUCCGGUGGUUCUGUAUGGAAGGGCCAUCGCUCAACGGAUAAAAGGUACUCCGGGGAUAACAGGCUGAUACCGCCCAAGAGUUCAUAUCGACGGCGGUGUUUGGCACCUCGAUGUCGGCUCAUCACAUCCUGGGGCUGAAGUCGGUCCCAAGGGUAUGGCUGUUCGCCAUUUAAAGUGGUACGCGAGCUGGGUUUAGAACGUCGUGAGACAGUUCGGUCCCUAUCUGGUGUGGGCGUUGGAUGAUUGAGGGGAGCUGCUCCUAGUACGAGAGGACCGGAGUGGACGAACCGCUGGUGUUCGGGUUGUGUCGCCAGACGCAUUGCCCGGUAGCUAUGUUCGGAUAGGAUAACCGCUGAAAGCAUCUAAGCGGGAAGCCCCCC